UAUUUAUUUUGCCACAAUUUUUCAUAUAGUUGUAAAUGUUAUAUGUGUGUGUGUGUGUGUGUGUGUGUGUGUGUGUGUGUGUGUGUAA
ensembl:miRNA Gm22679 predicted gene, 22679